rnacentral:rRNA from 1 species
CAGGACGAACGCUGGCGGCGUGCCUAACACAUGCAAGUCGAGCGAGGAGAUUCCUUCGGGAUGAUCCUAGCGGCGGACGGGUGAGUAACACGUGGGCAACCUGCCUCAUAGAGAGGAAUAGCCUUCCGAAAGGGAGAUUAAUACCUCAUAACAUUGCAGUUUCGCAUGGAACAGCAAUUAAAGGAGCAAUCCACUAUGAGAUGGGCCCGCGGCGCAUUAGCUAGUUGGUGAGGUAACGGCUCACCAAGGCGACGAUGCGUAGCCGACCUGAGAGGGUGAUCGGCCACAUUGGGACUGAGACACGGCCCAGACUCCUACGGGAGGCAGCAGUGGGGAAUAUUGCACAAUGGGGGAAACCCUGACGCAGCAACGCCGCGUGAGUGAUGACGGCCUUCGGGUUGUAAAGCUCUGUCUUCAGGGACGAUAAUGACGGUACCUGAGGAGGAAGCCACGGCUAACUACGUGCCAGCCGCGGC